ACCAUUUAAAAAACAUAGGUGGGGGCUUUCGCAUACAUCGAUGAAGACCAUCUGCCUCUGCUAUCCAUGUGCAGUUGAGACAGAAUCCGGAAGCUUUAGCUUCUUCAUAAAUUGUGGAUCUGCCUAUGUUUAUGUUCUCACGACUAAAUCCACAGUGAAAGAGUGUAUCUUUAAAAAUAGCAACACCGAAACUCCAGUGAUAUAACUCACCUUUUUUUAAGAAACUAUAUCAUCAUCUCGAGAUAAACAAUGAACGCCAAGAAGAUAGUCGUUGUUAUUCUGAAUCAUGCGACUCUAGCGUUCACUUUCAGGUAUAUCUGGUUGCAAAGCUUUAGAACUGGUUAUAGGUACCACAAUCAUGAAGAUAGUAAACACUAAGCAUAGAGUAGAUCUGAGUUUUUUUUUGUAGAUGAGUUCAUCAUGAUGAUUUGUUAGUGUACAUACUCUUCUCAUGAGCUCAUAAUUUAUAUAUGUUACGAAGUGCUAAAUUCUAGCAAAAAUAAUUCAGAUUUAGCUUAUUUUGAACAAAUUAGUCAAAGUCAUUAAAAGUAUAUGUGAGCACUAUUAGGAAAUAAUAUAUAUUUUCUAGAAUAUUAUAUAUAUAUAUAUGAAUCUCUGAGAUAAGACUAAAUAUUACAUUUCUAUGUAAGAGGUUCAUUAUUUAUGGAAUAAAUACAUAAAUUUCAUUUUUUUCAUUUCUAUUUUCAAAAAUUUUAUCAUUUUUAUUAAAAUAGUUUUCUGCUGGCUAAUAAUAUAUAUAUAUAUAUAUACGAAACUCUGAGAUAAGACUAAAUAUUACAUUUCUACAUAAGAGGUUCAUUAUUUAUGGAAUAAAUACACAAAUUUUAUUUUUUUCAUUUCUAUUCACAACAAUUUUAUCAUUUUUUAUUAAAAUGGUUUUCUGCUAGCUAAUUAUGAUUUCCAAUUUUUUUAUCUUUUUAAUUUGUUAAUUACAAGCUUGUCAUCCUUUCUAUAUUUUAAUAAAUGUAUUUUCGGAGUAGGCAAGAACAAUCCAUAUAUAUAAAAAAGUGUGGAUAGUUUGUUCUGCAAUCAAUCAAGGUACUAUGUUGAAUGUUUAGACAAAAUAAUGUAUAAUAUAUAAAAAUGCCCAACUUUGAUCAUGUUGAAACCUUCCGAAAAAGAAUAAAAAAAAAUAAAAAAAUCAUGAGGACUUUGUCAGUUGUGCCCAAAUGAACAAAUAUCACACUUAUUGAUAGUGGAACAAUUGAACAUAUGUUUGAAAAGGGUGAACGUUUACAAAUAUAUAAUCUUCACUAUUAAAUUACCAGAAACUCAAUAUUGUUUUGAAGGUGUAGUAACAUUGUAAUGACCCACCACUCCCACCAUCUCCACUUCUUUCUCCAACCCCACCACUUCCACCUUCUUUUCCACCAUCUCCACCUUCUUACCCACCAUCUCCAUCUUCUUUAAAGCUUGAGAAAGAGAGAGAGAGAGGGAAAGAGAGAGAGAAGAAGGAGAAGAAGGAAGAAAGCUCACCUGAGCUCGUCGCCGGAGAAACCGUGCGCCGUGACCACGUUCAGCUUGCCACCACCGAUAAACACCCUAGACUACCAUCGUGUUCCUCUCGUCGAGACGAAUCCGUAGCCACCAAAAACGCCUCAAUCGGAGUCCGGACGAAGCCGCACGCGCCUCCGGAAGUUUUGCCUCUGCGCGCGCGUGAGGUACACGCGCCGCCGCCGGAAAACGUCGCCACCGCCAGACCACCGUCCCCCGCCGCCGGAAUAUCCGCCGUCGUCGCCGGUAACUCGCCGGUGACUCGGUCAACUCGUCCGAGUCAACUCAAUUUGGAGUCCAUUUGAGCAGCUGGAGGUCAUAUAUACCGCUUCUCUUCAUUGCUAAGCAGGAGAAAGCUUUCAAUGGAGAAGAGUAAUGGCCAGCGAGUGAUUCUGUUUCCACUUCCAUUGCAAGGCUGCAUCAACCCCAUGCUUCAGCUUGCAAUGAUCCUCCACUCAAGAGGUUUCUCCAUCACUGUGAUCCACACGCGCUUCAAUCCCCCAAAACCUUCAAGCCACCCUCUCUUCACCUUCUUACAGAUCCCAGAUGGCUUGUCUGAAGCUGAGACAAGAACUCACGAUGUCACACUUCUCCUAACGCGUCUCAACCGAAGCUGUAAGUCUCCGUUUCGUGACUGUUUGACUAAACUGUUGCAAUCUGAAACAGCGGAAGGGAAACAGAGGAUUAGCUGUUUGAUCCAUGAUGCUCAAUGGAUCUUCACACAAUCACUC